UCUGCUUUGGCACUUCUCUGUUAACCUUCCUCAGCAGUAGUUUAAGAGUGCUGCUUUCUGUCAGGUAUAUGGUCUAAUCUACAUAUUUGAAAUUACUGAUGUUUUCCCACCAAUUUUUACUCUUCCUUCAUAUAACUUGCACUUUCCUUCUAAGUCUCAGAAAAUAGCAAGAAAACCAAACAGGGAUGAUAUUGACUGGGAGAAAAUUCAUUUUUAUGGGCAGGAGCUGGUUCUCCUAACCCUUGUGUGGCAGAUCAAAAGUGACAGGGAUGUUUUCUUUCUUUUGUUGUGGGUUGGGAAAAAUCUUUGUUGGUCAAAGACACAAGGCGAGCAAUGUACAUAGGUUGUUUUGAGUUGUUGGUGAAAGCAUAGAGCACAGCUGUAAAGAAGAUAACAAUGGUUGAUUUAAACCUCAAGCUUUUCCAGGCAUAGGACUGGUGUAUGUAAAAUUAGAUUUGUGAUCAUUCUCCUAAAUCACAUCUGAUUACAGCUUGAUAGGGUCAGACAAAACAACAGAACAAGUAGCAUCAUCUCAUUCCCUUUCAUAUGAGGCCUGGACAUUGUGAGGACACAGCAUUCUGAUGUUGAAACUGGAGAGAGUGCGGUUAAGCUAUCUUUCCACACAUCCUUCCUUUUAUCACAGGAAGUAGUGUGCAGGACGUUUAGGUUUUAUAGUUUGGAUGAAACUAUUUUUCCUUCUAGCUUCUUCUUUUCAUUCUAGUUGAAAAACCUGCUAUGGUUCCCUCAUCCUUCUGGGCAUGAAGAAUUUCCAGAUGUUAUUGCAUCACAACUCUCUACAUGUUGUUGCACUAUAGCUUUCACCAUUUCUGCCCCCUGGUCAUGCUGGCUGGCUGGUGUUGGUUGGAACCACCACCUACAUAUUUGUGUCAGGAUCACAUGAUUCCUAUGCUUUGCAGGAUGGAAAUGAUAAGGCCUCCUUGUUUUAUUUUGUUCAAUCUCCAAUACUGAACUUUGGCCCUUCAGAUUAUUUUUCACUUCCACUCCCAUUGGUCCCAGUGAUCAGGUUCAAUUGUAAGGGUUUAUGGGAAUUAUAGUCCAAAAUGUUUGGAAAGCCAAAGAUUCCCCAUCUCUGAAUUUCCUGAUGCCAUUUCUAACAAUCAAUAUGGGUAACAAUGCUUUCUUGCUUUUCUGUUUCCUCUCCAUGGCUUCCCAUAUUUAUCGUGUAUCUUGCAUUGUAAACCUGACAGCAGCCCUCUUUCUUCAUCCUUUCUGGGUGUUUUACAGAACAUCUAAAAUAUUAGGUAUUGUGGAGAUGGUUACUAUCAAAAAUAAUAUUGAUGAAAUACACAUUGGUAAGCUUAGGAGACUGACUUUUUGUUUCUGUUACACAGACAUGCUUUAAAAAUGUACUUCAUACUAUAAUCUGUUGUAGCCUCUGACAUCCCUGUGAUGCUUUAGGAACAGCUCUCAUAUUUCCUAUCCAAGAUGCUGGCUAGUGAUUGUAGAAGUUCUUGUCCAGUCAGUCUGGAUAACACCUCCUUGGAGGACGGUGGUCCGAUGUGUUGACUGCUGGGAGAGUGCCACGAGGUGUCAAAAUUUUCUUGGGUCGUUCCAUCCAGAAUGGAAGGAAAAGAAAGUGCUCAGAUAAGACGGGCGGAUAUCCUUAUACAAGAUUCAGUAAAACAACAUAUGCUGCAGGGAUUCAACCACUCCUUGGCCACAGAGGGAGACUCGCAGUUCAAAACAACUGAAUAAGAGAGCACCAAAAUGGAGUGUAAGUAACAGUGCAUGUAACUGUGAAGAGUCGGAUAAUGUAGCUCUUGCCAAAGGCUAUCCCCCCACAUCAGUGGAUGAUUUUUAAUGCUGCUGCCCUGUGACAGCCAAACCUUCCACCUCUACAGGGGAAAUGUCUAGGGAAGUGGCUCAUGUGACCUCUCUAAAUCCCCAUUGAGCUGUAGGAAGGGAUAUUUACCACUAGAUUCAUAGAACCUUGUAAAACCACCCUGGGUUGUCCUCACAGAGUCACAUGAAAGCCCGCAGACCAAU